rnacentral:rRNA from 1 species
CAUGCAUGUCUAAGUAUAAGCAAUUAUACAGCGAAACUGCGAAUGGCUCAUUAUAUAAGUUAUCGUUUAUUUGAUAGUACCUUACUACUUGGAUAACCGUGGUAAUUCUAGAGCUAAUACAUGCUAAAAAUCCCGACUUCGGAAGGGAUGUAUUUAUUAGAUUAAAAACCAAUGCCCUCUGGGCUCUCUGGUGAUUCAUAAUAACUUCUCGAAUCGCAUGGCCUUGCGCCGGCGAUGGUUCAUUCAAAUUUCUUCCCUAUCAACUUUCGAUGUUUGGGUAGUGGCCAAACAUGGUUGCAACGGGUAACGGAGGGUUAGGGCUCGACCCCGGAGAAGGAGCCUGAGAAACGGCUACUACAUCCAAGGAAGGCAGCAGGCGCGCAAAUUACCCAAUCCCGAUUCGGGGAGGUAGUGACAAUAAAUACUGAUACAGGGCUCUUUUGGGUCUUGUAAUUGGAAUGAGUACAAUUUAAAUCCCUUAACGAGGAACAAUUGGAGGGCAAGUCUGGUGCCAGCAGCCGCGGUAAUUCCAGCUCCAAUAGCGUAUAUUAAAGUUGUUGUGGUUAAAAAGCUCGUAGUUGAACCUUGGGCCUGGCUGGCCGGUCCGCCUCACCGCGUGUACUGGUCCGGCCGGGCCUUUCCCUCUGUGGAACCCCAUGCCCUUCACUGGGUGUG